rnacentral:rRNA from 1 species
UACGUAGGGUGCAAGCGUUGUCCGGAAUUAUUGGGCGUAAAGAGCUUGUAGGCGGUUUGUCGCGUCUGCUGUGAAAUUUCGGGGCUCAACCCCGAACUUGCAGUGGGUACGGGCAGACUAGAGUGUGGUAGGGGAGACUGGAAUUCCUGGUGUAGCGGUGAAAUGCGCAGAUAUCAGGAAGAACACCCGUGGCGAAGGCGGCUCUCUGGGACGGUACUGACGCUGAGAUGCGAAAGCGUGGGGAGCGAACAGG